AUUGAACGCUGGCGGCAGGCCUAACUCAUGCAAGUCGAGCGGAUGAAGGGAGCUUGCUCCUGGAUUCAGCGGCGGACGGGUGAGUAAUGCCUAGGAAUCUGCCUGGUAGUGGGGGAUAACGUCCGGAAACGGGCGCUAAUACCGCAUACGUCCUGAGGGAGAAAGUGGGGGAUCUUCGGACCUCACGCUAUCAGAUGAGCCUAGGUCGGAUUAGCUAGUUGGUGGGGUAAAGGCCUACCAAGGCGACGAUCCGUAACUGGUCUGAGAGGAUGAUCAGUCACACUGGAACUGAGACGCGGUCCAGACUCCUACGGGAGGCAGCAGUGGGGAAUAUUGGACAAUGGGCGAAAGCCUGAUCCAGCCAUGCCGCGUGUGUGAAGAAGGUCUUCGGAUUGUAAAGCACUUUAAGUUGGGAGGAAGGGCAGUAAGUUAAUACCUUGCUGUUUUGACGUUACCAACAGAAUAAGCACCGGCUAACUUCGUG
rnacentral:rRNA from 1 species